AAUUAGACUGUAUGUGUGCGUGUGUGCGUGUGUGUGUGUGUAUGUGUGAGUAUGGUGUGCUGGUGUGAUCGCAAGAGGCUGAUGCGUGGGGGUGUAACUGAAAUAUUUUUGAUUUGGACAAAGGAAUGAAUCAGCUUUGACACAGUCUCCUUAUUCCGAAUUAAUUAAUAAAUAAUCAAAUAAAUAAAUAAAAUAAAAACUAAAAAUUCUAACAAAGGUGUAUAAUAAUGAAAAAAUAAAGACAAAGGAAUAAAAGAAAAAGAAAAAAAAGUCUUUUCGUUUUUUCUUUUCUAACGAACUAUUGUGUUUUAUUGAUAAAUUCAUCAACAAUUAAUUAAUCAUGGGUGAAAAUAACGAAUUCAUCUCUUCAGCAAUUCAUGGAAAUCCAGCUGAUAAUCACAAAGUCAUUGAAAGAAAAAAAAAACAGUUAGUAAAUUUAGAAAUAGCAAGGAACACAUUAAAAAAAAAAAAAACUAAAUUAACAA